AAACGCACCAAGUCUCAGCAGCCAAUCAGAGGCUACGCAAGCCACGCUCAGCCUGUCGUCUCGAAGCGAAGUGAAAAGCGCGCGGUUUUCCCGCUCCCUUCAGAAAAGCGCGGGAAGCUGCAUGUUAAGAGAGGAGAGGAAACAGGAGGAGAACCCGGAGUUUACCUGUGGAAAGGAGGAAAAGAGUCGGAGCACUCACCCACUGGAGUCCGGAGCUCAGGGACCAAGUUGCGUCGGUCAGGGUUUUUUGGAGGACUGAAUGUGGUUCAGGACACACUUCCUGCUGAAACUGAUGGCGAGCCAAGUAUCCUGAAGAAAGUCCAGCACCGAGGAGAUCCACGUACACACCCAUUCACACAAACAUUACACACUUACAUUACACUACAAGGAUCCUGGGAAUCAGGUGAACUGCAGUAACUCAACAACAGAUAAACCUGAAAAAAGUUUUUAUUUUGUUUAAGGGCCCCAACGGACACUUUAUUUUUCUAAAUGUUUGGGUAAUUUCGGAUUCUGUACAAACCAGACAAGUUACCUUGUCCACUGUUAAAAAUUAUGAGUGGCUACUCAACUGUUAUUUUCGUGUCGGUCUUCUUAUUGUUGCUCAGUAAAGUGGCUCCUGUCGAAUUUAGUGUCGUCUGAUUCUGGUCCAGCUUCCAUUAUUAAUCUAAUUAGUUAUUAUACUGUAAUUCACUUUUCUAUCUUUAAAAUUGGUUACACGUCACAUGUCAACAGUCUGACUGUCAGUUCAGCAUCAAAAUAAUCAGCCUAUCGUAGCUUUGCUUGCUGGAAAGAGAGUGGACAGGCGCGUUGAACACAAACUACAGUAUCAUGAACAGACACACCUCCCUUCAUGAGCACUGGUCAGUAAACAGAACAGAGGAAGCAGCUCGGUCUUUUCACGACACGUCUUCAUCAAAACAAGAUGAUUUGUUACUUCUCUUCUGUCAAGUUUCAUCAUCAGUGAAACACUCCCUGAAGUAUUUUCACAACUGGAUCUUCUGGAGUCACAAACUUGUGGCAAGUGCAGUCUUUAAUGACAUCAACAAAAAGAAGAUAGAACUAAAACAGGACUGGA